rnacentral:rRNA from 1 species
UACGGAGGGUGCAAGCGUUGCUCGGAAUUAUUGGGCGUAAAGGGCAGGUAGGUGGUCUCGUUUGUCUGGGGUGAAAGCCCGGAGCUUAACUUCGGAAGUGCCUCAGAAACGGCGAGACUAGAGUACUGGAGAGGGUCGUGGAAUUCCCGGUGUAGCGGUGAAAUGCGUAGAGAUCGGGAGGAACACCAGAGGCGAAGGCGGCGACCUGGACAGUAACUGACACUCAACUGCGAAAGCGUGGGGAGCAAACAGG